AUCCCACUCCUGACACCA
rnacentral:ncRNA from 2 species